rnacentral:rRNA from 1 species
ACUCCUACGGGGAGGCAGCAGUGGGGAAUAUUGCACAAUGGGCGCAAGCCUGAUGCAGCCAUGCCGCGUGUGUGAAGAAGGCCUUCGGGUUGUAAAGCAACUUUCAGUCGUGAGGAAGGUAGUGUAGUUAAAUAGCUGCAUUAUUUGACGUUAGCGACAGAAGAAGCACCGGCUAACUCCGUGCCCAGCAGCCGCGGUAAAUACGGAGGGUGCGAGCGUUAAUCGGAAUUACUGGGGCGUAAAAGCGCAUGCAGGUGGUUUGUUUAAAGUCAGAUGUGAAAAG